AGUGAACGCUGGCGGUAGGCCUAACACAUGCAAGUCGAACGGCAGCACAGUAAGAGCUUGCUCUUACGGGUGGCGAGUGGCGGACGGGUGAGGAAUACAUCGGAAUCUACUUUUUCGUGGGGGAUAACGUAGGGAAACUUACGCUACUACCGCAUACGACCUACGGGUGAAAGCAAGGGAUCUUCGGACCUUGCGCGAUUGAAUGAGCCGAUGUCGGAUUAGCUAGUUGGCGGGGUAAAGGCCCACCAAGGCGACGAUCCGUAGCUGGUCUGAGAGGAUGAUCAGCCACACUGGAACUGAGACACGGUCCAGACUCCUACGGGAGGCAGCAGUGGGGAAUAUUGGACAAUGGGCGCAAGCCUGAUCCAGCCAUACCGCGUGGGUGAAGAAGGCCUUCGGGUUGUAAAGCCCUUUUGUUGGGAAAGAAAAGCAGCAGGUUAAUACCCCGCUGUUCUGACGGUACCCAAAGAAUAAGCACCGGCUAACUUCGUG
rnacentral:rRNA from 1 species